UACGUAGGGUGCAAGCGUUGUCCGGAAUUAUUGGGCGUAAAGAGCUCGUAGGCGGUUUGUCGCGUCUGCUGUGAAAACUGGAGGCUCAACCUCCAGCCUGCAGUGGGUACGGGCAGACUAGAGUGCGGUAGGGGAGAUUGGAAUUCCUGGUGUAGCGGUGGAAUGCGCAGAUAUCAGGAGGAGCACCGAUGGCGAAGGCAGAUCUCUGGGCCGUAACUGACGCUGAGGAGCGAAAGCAUGGGGAGCGAACAGG
rnacentral:rRNA from 1 species